GUAUUGGCAAAGCAUGAAUAUUUCUUGCUUUCUGGUAGCAAGAUUUGGCAUUAGUGUUUGAUGCUGUGGCCGUGGGUACAUGUUACAAUUCAGGCAUUCAAGUGUUUUCAGAGACUACCAAGCUGACCACAGUGAUGGAAGCAUAUAAAGACUACAUUAUUCUGUGAUGCUGCCAGAGAGCUGAAAAAAUUAGAAGUGGUGAGGAAUAUGUGCUGCAAGCUGUAUUUUCCUCAUUCACGUGCAAAAGAGGUGAUGAAGAUUAGGGACUUAUCACACUGCUACCAUCCUCCGAUGGAAGCAGAAUUAUGAAAUAUGCCCCCUGCUGCUGGUCCUGGAAGGGCCCGGGAACAUCAGCCAGGGAACAAUAAAUAGCUCAGUUUGGUUUGCGGGGAGGACGAGGAAGGUAGAGCGAAGAGAAAGGGAGAAGGAACUCAGCGUUUCGGCAGCGGGCAUCUCUUUGGGCAGCGUUCUGUAAGCGCUUUAUCUUAAUAUAAACCCGUAUACAGCCUUCCUCGGCGCUACUGCUAAUCCCACGACACGCGCAGCCCGGGCUGUCCCUCUCCAGGUUGUCCCACUA
rnacentral:lncRNA from 1 species